UUUCCUACACAUGAGGAUAAAGGGAGGGCCCUUCGGGGACCCUACCGGCGGACGGGUUAUCACACGUAAGCGACAUAACCCUGUGCGGGGGACAACCCGGGGAAACCCGGGCUAAUACCGCAUGGACGGUGGGGCUGCAUGGCUCUGCUGGGAAACCCGGCCUCCUUACAGUGCCGGGGCGCAGGGAGCGGCUUGCGGGCUAUCAGCUAGUUGGUGAGGUCAUGGCUCACCAAGGCGACGACGGCUAGGGGGUCUGAGAGGAUGGCCCCCCACAUUGGGACUGAGACACGGCCCAGACUCCUACGGGAGGCAGCAGUGGGACUCCUACGGGAGGCAGCAGUGGGACUCCUACGGGAGGCAGCAAUGGGACUCCUACUGGAGGCAGCAGUGGGACUCCCUACGGGAGGCCGCACUUGGG
rnacentral:sRNA from 1 species